UCAAGCUAGUAAGGGUGUGCGGAGGAUGCUCUGGCGCUGAGAGGCGACGAAGGACGUGGUCAGCUGCGAUAAGCCCCGGGGAGGUGCUAACAACCCGAGAUCCGGGGAUCUCCGAAUGCGGAAACGCUGCGCGGGUCGAUUCCGCGCAAUCCGGCGAUGAAUUCAUAGUCGACGGAGGCUAACGGGGCCAAUUGAAACAUCUUAGUAACCCCAGGAAGAGAAAGAGCCAUCGAUGCCCCCAGUAGCGGCGAGCGAACGGGGCUCAGCCCAAACCAUGUGCAUGCCAAGGCCAGACCGUUGUGCACGUGGGGUUGCGGGACUUCUGCCCGGCGCCUGGACGCCGGCGCGAGUUACAAAGCGAAGAUCUAGCCGAAGCUUCUGGAAUGCUGCGCCACAGCGGGUGAAAGCCCCGUAGGCGAAAGAUCCGAGCCUCGCGAAGAAGCUCCCAAGUACGGCCGGACACGAGAAACCCGGCCUGAAUCCGGCGGGACCAUCCGCCAAGGCUAAAUACUCCUCAGCGACCGAUAGUGCAGUAGUAGCGUGAGCGAAGCAGUGAAAAGAACCCCUGUUAGGGGAGUGAAACAGGUCCUGAAACCGCACAUCUACAAUCUGUGGGAGCCCUAUGCCGGCCUUCGGGCCGGAACGGGCGACCUCGUACCUUUUGUAUAAUGGGCCCGCGAGUUAAUCUGCACGGCGAGGUUAAGGGCUUCAGGCCCGGAGCCGAAGCGAAAGCGAGUGCAAACAGCGCGAUUCAAGUCGUGCGGAUUAGACCCGAAUAGAUGUGAUCUAUCCAUUGCCAGGAUGAAGCGGCCGUAACAGGCCGUGGAGGUCCGAACCCGUUGGUGGUGAAAAAUCAUGGGAUGAGCGGUGGAUAGGCGUAAAAGUCGAGACAAACAUCUCAAUAGCUGGUUCUCCCCGAAAUGUAUUUUGGUACAGCGUCGCGCCAUUGACCGACGGAGGUAGAGCUACUGAAUGGGCAGGGAGCCCUCACGGGUAUCCGGCCUAACCAAACUCCGAAUUCCGUCCGGUUGUACCGCGGCAGUGAGUCCUUGGGGGAUAAGCUCCAUGGACGAGAGGGAAACAGCCCAGAUCGACGGCUAAGGCCCCCAAAUCAUGCUGAGUGCAAAAGGAAGUGGGAAUGCAAAGACAGCCGGGAUGUUGGCUUAGAAGCAGCCAUCAUUUAAAAAGUGCGUAAUAGCUUACCGGUCGAGCAUUCCCGCGCCGAUAAUAAACGGGACUAAGCAUGAUGCCGAAGCCUCGACUGUGCGUCGCCUGCGGGCGACGCACGGGGUAGGGGAGCGUCGGACCAACCGUUGAAGGAGGACCGUGAGGACCUCUGGAGGACGUCCGAGUGAGUAUGCGGGCACGAGUAACGAGAAACGCAGUGAGAAUCUGCGUCGCCGUAAACCCAAGGUUUCCUGGGCAAGGUCAUUCCUCCCAGGGUCAGUCGGAACCUAAGGCGAGGCCGAAAGGCGUAGUCGAUGGAAGACGGGUCAACAUUCCCGUACCAGUGCGCGUGCGUUCGAUGCCGAGGAGGGGUGGAGGAGGCUAGACGAUCCGGGGACCAGUGGUCCCGGUUCAAGCCCGUAGGGUGGGACGUAGGAAAACCCGCGUCCCGCAAGCCCGAGAGGUGAUGACGAGGCCGAUUCUGCGCCGAAGUCGUCGAUGCCAUGCUUCCUAGAAAAUCUUCGCGGCUAGCACGAGUACUGUCCGUACCGCAAACCGACACAGGUGGGUGGGGUGAGUAUCCUAAGGCGCUCGAGAGAACCAUGGUUAAGGAACUCGGCAAAUUUGCUCCGUAACUUCGGGAGAAGGAGUGCCUCUUUGCGUCAUGGGCUUCGCGCCCGGCAGCGCUGGGGGGCCGCAGUGAAAGGCGAGCUGGAACUGGUUAUCAAAACCACAGGUCUGUGCGAAGGCAUGACGCCGAUGUAUACAGACUGACGCUUGCUCAGUGACGGAAGGUCAAGGUGAGCGGUUAGCCGCAAGGCGAAGCUGCGAACUCAAGCCCCGUUAAACAGCGGCCGUAACUAUGACGGUCCUAAGGUAGCGAAAUUCCUUGUCGGGUAAGUUCCGACCCGCAUGAAUAGCGUAAUCACAGCUCGACUGUCUCAACCAUGGACUCGGUGAAACUGCAGUUGUGGUGAAAAUACCAUGUACCCGCGGCUAGACGGAAAGACCCCGUGAACCUUUACUGUAGCCUAUUACUGUGUUUAGACAUCUCAUGCGUAGGAUAGGUGGGAGACGUUAUACCGACGGGUUCCGGCCCGAAGGAAGUCAACGGUGAAAUACCACCCUUGAGGUGUUUGAAUUCUAACCUCGUUCCGUGAAACCGGGCGAGGGACCGUGGUAGGUGGGCAGUUUGGCUGGGGCGGUCUCCUCCCAAAUCGUAACGGAGGAGCCCAAAGGUGCACUCAGUGCGGUCGGCAAUCGCACGUCGAGCGUAAAGGUAUAAGUGCGCUUAACUGUGAGACCGAUGGGUCGAACAGAUGCGAAAGCAGGGCUUAGUGAUCCGGCGGAUCCGGAUGGAAGGGACGUCGCUCAUCAGACAAAAGGUACUCCGGGGAUAACAGGCUGAUCUCCUCCAAGAGUCCAUAUCGACGAGGAGGUUUGGCACCUCGAUGUCGGCUCAUCGCAUCCUGGGGCU
rnacentral:rRNA from 1 species